rnacentral:rRNA from 1 species
CGAAGGGGCUAGCGUUGCUCGGAAUGACUGGGCGUAAAGGGCGCGUAGGCGGAUCGUGCAGUCGGGCGUGAAAUUCCUGGGCUCAACCUGGGGACUGCGUUCGAGACGCAUGGUCUAGAGUGGGGAAGAGGGUCGUGGAAUUCCCAGUGUAGAGGUGAAAUUCGUAGAUAUUGGGAAGAACACCGGUGGCGAAGGCGGCGACCUGGUCCUUGACUGACGCUGAGGCGCGAAAGCGUGGGGAGCAAACAGGAUU